AAGGAUUUUGCUGCCAUGUAUAUCUUGUGUUGUACUUUCUUAUCUAAUUAGCUUACUCAAUUGAGAAUCUAAUUUGGUCUUUAUGAUGCUUAUAUUGUUUAUAAUCUACUUAUGUCUUGAGUUUUGUAGUUUCAUGAUUCUUAGGUUAUUCAAUUGUGCUCGCAGUUGUCUUUAUUAUUGAGCAAUUUUCAUGCAAACAUUUAUGAAGUGGGAGGGAUUGUAGGAAUUGUUCUUCUAUAUUUCAUUACCAGAGUUCACUCUUUUGAUGGAGCUUAUGACUCUAUUGGAUUGUUAUAUUAAAUUGUACUAGUUUAGUAUUGUCAUAUAAGAUGCCGCACAUGACAAAUGG
rnacentral:misc_RNA from 1 species